rnacentral:rRNA from 1 species
UACGUAGGCGGACUAUUAAGUCGAGGGUGAAAUCCCGGGGCUCAACCCCGGAACUGCCUUCGAUACUGGUAGUCUUGAGGUCGAGAGAGGUGAGUGGAAUUCCGAGUGUAGAGGUGAAAUUCGUAGAUAUUCGGAGGAACACCAGUGGCGAAGGCGGCUCACUGGCUCGAUACUGACGCUGAGGUACGAAAGUGUGGGGAGCAAACA